rnacentral:ncRNA from 2 species
GAAAUGCGAUACGUAUUGUGAAUUGCAGAUUUUCGUGAAUCAUCGAAUCUUUGAACGCACAUUGCACCCUCUGGUAUUCCAGAGGGUAUGCCUGUUUGAGCGUCAUUUCUCUCUCAAACCUUCGGGUUUGGUAUUGAGUGAUACUCUGUCAAGGGUUAACUUGAAAUAUUGACUUAGCAAGAGUGUACUAAUAAGCAGUCUUUCUGAAAUAAUGUAUUAGGUUCUUCCAACUCGUUAUAUCAGCUAGGCAGGUUUAGAAGUAUUUUAGGCUCGGCUUAACAACAAUAAACUAAAAGUUUGACCUCAAAUCAGGUAGGACUACCCGCUGAACUUAA